UGGACGGGGGCACCCUCCGGCCCGGCGCCCGGCGCCCGCCCGGGGCCCUGGGGGUGAGCGCCUCCGGACCGCGUUCGAGCCAUGGGCGCCCUC
rnacentral:tRNA from 1 species